rnacentral:rRNA from 1 species
CAAGUCGAACGGAAAGGCCCGCUUGCGGGUACUCGAGUGGCGAACGGGUGAGUAACACGUGGGCAACCUGCCCUCAGCUUUGGGAUAACUCUCGGAAACGGGUGCUAAUACCGAAUGUUGACAUUCUGCCGCAUGGUGGUUUGUUGAAAGUUUUUCGGCUGGGGAUGGGCCCGCGGCCUAUCAGCUUGUUGGUGGGGUGCUGGCCUACCAAGGCGACGACGGGUAGCCGGCCUGAGAGGGACGACCGGCCACCACUGGAACUGAGACACGGUCCAGACUCCUACGGGAGGCAGCAGUGGGGAAUAUUGCGCAAUGGGCGGAAGCCUGACGCAGCGACGCCGCGUGAGGGAUGACGGUCUUCGGAUUGUAAACCUCUUUCAGUAGGGACGAAUGUAGACGGUACCUGCAGAAGAAGCACCGGCCAACUACGUGCCAGCAGCCGCGGUAAUACGUAGGGUGCGAGCGUUGUCCGGAAUUAUUGGGCGUAAAGAGCUCGUAGGCGGUUCGUCGCGUCGAAUGUGAAAACCCGGGGCUCAACUCCGGGCCUGCAUUCGAUACGGGCGGACUAGAGUUCGGUAGGGGAGACUGGAAUUCCUGGUGUAGCGGUGAAAUGCGCAGAUAUCAGGAGGAACACCGGUGGCGAAGGCGGGUCUCUGGGCCGAUACUGACGCUGAGGAGCGAAAGCGUGGGGAGCGAACAGGAUUAGAUACCCUGGUAGUCCACGCCGUAAACGGUGGGCGCUAGGUGUGGGGGACUUCCACGUCUUCUGUGCCGCAGCUAACGCAUUAAGCGCCCCGCCUGGGGAGUACGGCCGCAAGGCUAAAACUCAAAGGAAUUGAUGGGGGCCCGCACAAGCGGCGGAGCAUGCUGAUUAAUUCGAUGCAACGCGAAGAACCUUACCAAGGCUUGACAUACACCGGAAACUUCCAGAAAUGGUUGUCCCCGCAAGGUCGGUGUACAGGUGGUGCAUGGUUGUCGUCAGCUCGUGUCGUGAGAUGUUGGGUUAAGUCCCGCAACGAGCGCAACCCUCGUCUUAUGUUGCCAGCACGUUAUGGUGGGGACUCAUAAGAGACUGCCGGGGUCAACUCGGAGGAAGGUGGGGAUGAGGUCAAAUCAUCAUGCCCCUUAUGUCUUGGGCUUCAAGCAUGCUACAAUGGCCGGUACAAAGGGCUGCGAUACCGCGAGGUGGAGCGAAUCCCAAAAAGCCGGUCUCAGUUCGGAUUGGGGUCUGCAACUCGACCCCAUGAAGUCGGAGUCGCUAGUAAU